rnacentral:rRNA from 1 species
UACAGAGGUCCCGAGCGUUGUUCGGAUUCACUGGGCGUAAAGGGUGCGUAGGUGGUGAGGUAAGUCGGAUGUGAAAUCUCCAAGCUCAACUUGGAAAUGGCAUUGGAAACUACCUUGCUGGAGGUUUGGAGGGGGGACUGGAAUUCUCGGUGUAGCAGUGAAAUGCGUAGAUAUCGAGAGGAACACCAGUGGCGAAGGCGAGUCCCCGGACAAAACCUGACACUGAGGCACGAAAGCUAGGGGAGCAAACAGG